rnacentral:lncRNA from 1 species
GUGGCAGCUCUUCACCCUGCAGCUCUGGCAGGGCUGCUCACAGCAGGCCAAGGAAUUCCUGGCAGUUCUUCUCAGUGGAGAGGCUUUCACCACACACAAGUACUGUGAAAUCCACCCACGUGUUUGGGAGGGUGACAGCACAGAACCACAGAACAUCACUCGAGUGCCCGUGACAGCAACUGGAGCAACAGCAACGGAAGCUCUGGAGGAAGGGGAUGAGAAACUCCCUCCCACCACCUGACUCCUGUGGGAUGCUGCUUGGAUACAGGUUGAGGCAGCCACUGAAGUCAUCGCUGUCUGUGGGCUGCUGAGUUUCUAACUUGAUGUUUUAUGGGGAUCUGUCUAUCAAAAUAUUUGGGAUCUGCUGAUCUGUGGUUUCUGUGCUGGUUUCAGAAGGAUGUGUUGGCCUCACACAAGCCACAGUAAGGCACCAUCAUGCUCAAAUGCUGACUGAAUUAGAUGCUUUUUGAGCCUGGUUGUCAGGGGAAAGCCAUACGUGUGCAACAAGCUGUUGGAAAUAGUUUUGAAGGGGUGUUCCAAGUCUCCAGUGCUCCUACUCUGACUGGGCAACGUAGUGCUUGCCUAAGUAUUGUUUCAGAGGAACAGUCACAAUGGGAAUGUGCAGAUAUGUGAACAAUUGUUGGAUUUGAGACUUGCAAUCAAGGACCCAAAAUUCAUUUUAAAGGAAAAUAAAAUUUUCAAAGGAAUUUUUUCAAAGGAAAUGUUUCAUUGUCUUACCAAAAUUGCACUCCAUUUUGGUGCCUUCCACUAAAUGAGAGGAAGGGCAGGCUCCUGGUUGAGAUGAUGGGACAAGUAGCCCAGGGUCAGUUGCUGGUCCUAGCCCAGAUUUCCAGAACCUAAGUUACUCAAUCCUCCUUUUUAUUACAGUUCACUAUCAGGAGAUAAGGAUAAUAUUACUUUUCUCCACACUUCAUCUAUUUUAUCUAUUAAAUAAUGGGGAGAGACAUAGAGAAGAUUUAAUAUAAAGAUGCCCAAUGUCUUGCACAGUGGAGUACCUCAUCUUGAUUAAGGACUUACACAUUAUUGACGUUUAUAAUCAUUUCAUCAGUCCCAACAUAUUCCUUUCCACAAAGGAAGACUAUCACAGAAAACUGCAGUUAUGGAGCACAGGUAGUCAAAUGCUGAAUCACUACAAAAUAUGCAUGGUGCUCUUCAACCUGCUGCCAAGGAGAGUGAGAAAGCAGGCUCCUAUCCAUGUUUGUGUGUUAUCCUCUCAUGGUGUCUGUCCCACAAACAGCAUCCAAGGCUUGCAAGUGGAACUCCUGUGUAAACCAAAGGUGAGACAGACCCUGGCUCAGCACAGUAGUCCAGGUUACAUUGAUAUCCUUUUGAGGUUAUUUUGCUGAGUAUGGGUGUGAUGAAGACAUUGAGGAUAGGACUAUUCACGGUGACCAUUCUGUUUGCCAGGCACAGCCCCUGUACCCACUGAACACGGAUUUCUUCAAAUUCAGUGGUUAUCUAAAUCUCCUCCUUUUCAUAGAAUCAUAGAAGAGACAGGAUGGGAAAGGACAUUAAAGAUCACCCAGUUUCAAUCCUUUUGCCAUGGGCAGGGACACCUUCCACCAGACCAGGCUGCUCAGAGCCCCAUCCAGCCUGGCCUUGAGCACUCCCAGGGAUGGGGCAGCCACAGCUGCUCUGGGCACUCUGCUGCCUCACCACCCUCACAGGGAAGAAUUUCUUCCUAAUAUCUAAUUUAACCUAUUCUCUUUCAGUUUGAGUCCAUUCCCUCUUGUCCUGUAACUACAUGCCCUUGUAAAUACUCUCUCUCCAAUGUAUGUAUUUUGCAAAAGCAAGUCCUGCCAGGGUCAGCAUUUCUGUUUGUUCAUUUGUAAUUUUUUUUCCCUAAACACACAUGUGACAAUGCAUCAUUCACUUUCUACUCAUUUACCCCAGAAGACCAAGAAAAAUACUGUUAAGUAAAAUGUGGAGCAAUAUUAAUAAGAUUUAAAUUUUAAUUACUGCCCACAGGACAUAGAUACAAGUUAAUACACCUCCUUCCACACUACUGUAGGACAUAUUCUGUUUUCAAAAUAUCCUAAAUGAAGUGUCUUCCUGAAGUCUCUGCUGCUCCCAUAUGUUGCUUUUAAAUAUCAGAUGAGUUUUCCAGUUGGUUUUAACAUCUUAUGCUGUGGCCAGCUGAUGUAAUUUGGCACAGAUCCAUUACACCAUCGGAAAUAUGUCAGUCUAUACCAGCUGAGAUUACAGCACAGUUCUAAUUUUAAAUACACUUAACAUCUUUUUAAUGCUUUCUCGAACAAUGUUAGUAAAACCUGUUUUAUCUCAGUUUCUGUCCUCAGCAAGCACAUGUGCAAAAGUUAACAUCUUGGAAGGGAUGAAAGAGAACAGGACCUGUCCCUGCUCAAAUUUUAAGGCAAAUAUCCCUUACGAAGUCAUGACAGGAGGGACUGACUUUCCAUAAGACCAGUGGAAUAAAAGAACAUAAUUUACCAUUUUAAGUGGUUCUGAAAACAGAGCUAAAUUCAAAGCAUUGAAGAAAAUCUUCUUGGUUUCAGCUCUGUAGCUGCUUAAAUUAUUCACUGUAAAUAUAUGACCAUACAGAUUUAGCACUUUUGCUGUUCUUUGUGGUUUUGUUGACUGAGAUGACCUUGAUUUGCUGACUGUUCAAAGCAUAGUUCUGCCUAUUAAAUAACUUUCAAAUGCUCACCUUGGAUUGCAUAAAGCUAUUACUGACAUGCUCACAUAAUUCUUCCCCUUGAAGUGCCAGGCUGGUUAUACCAACAAGAAGUACACACACACUGUUCUCACGAGCCCAUGUAAAGCCCUGAUGUGGCAGAGCUUUGCACUUGCCUGGAGGUCCCACAAGGGUGGUUCCUUGUGUGGUGUCUGAUCUCCACACCCUCUCAGGAGCUAAUGAUGCCAUGGUAUGGAGCAGUAAACUCCUGUGCUCUCCCCCACCAUGAGUUCAUUUCCCCUGGUGCUGUUGGUACCCUGAGUGAAACCAAGCAUCGUGAGCAGGGCUCUGCAUAGGGACUGCAGGCUGGCCUAAGGAGGGGCUGGAAUGAAGCUUUCCAAAAGGUAUGUCAGCUCCAGGGGUGGGAUUCCAGUACAGCAAAAUCCCCUUUCCCAGCUAAGCUCACCCCAGCACUGGGCAGAGCAGUAUAAACCCACAGUGGGAUAAAUCCUGACAUGCUAUUGAGCUUGGCACUGCAGAGAUUUCCCAUUUCUCUCAGGGGUGCAGGUGAAGCAUAGAUAAAGAUGGGUGUUGUCAAAGUGGAAGGUGACUUACUUGACUAAAUGUAUCUUCUGGAAGUUCAGUGCUUGUGGGAAGACUAGCAUUUAGGCUGACAGCAAUUCUUAUUCCCAGGUUGUGUGGACCCUUCAGGUGUGCCCCAGAAUGGGGUUAUCACAGCUGUGUCCUCCCAGGGUCAGUGCUGAAUCCUUUCCUGAGGGAAAAGUGCCCCUUUUGGAUGCUUUCAGAGUGCUUCAGGAAACUGUGUCUGCCACAACAGCCUCCUUAUGCACUCAGGCAUCACACCUGCUCCCUUCUUCCUUCUCUCACCUUACAAAGCACCUGACACUUUAGGGCUUUCUCUGAAUUCAGAAGGGAAAACAAGAAUUUUCCUUUUUCAAAGCAUUUUUUAAAGUCAGAAACAUUUAAAUGUUUGUCUCAUCCCUAAUAUGUCUAAAAGCCUGUUUAGGAACAUUCAGCUCAAAUCUAGUUUAGUGAUUUAAGUGUGUGAGUGAUACUCACAGACACAUGGUGUGAUUCUUGGGGAUGGUGCUGUGCAGGGCUAAGAGUUGGACUCGAUGAUCCCUGUGGGUCCUUUCCAACUCAGCAUAUUCUGUGAUUCUGUGAUAUCUGAAAUCUGCUCAAGUGUGAUUGGGAAAGCAAGACGGAUGCCAUUUGGGAGAUGGGGAUUUCAACAUGAGGACAUUAUUGUGCUACUUUUACACAGCAACAAAAUAAAGC